ACUGCGCAGAUCGGGUCGAUGCAAGCAACACGGAGGGGAUCUCAUGACCGCUGCUCGCUGCGGCAUUUCGUCGAGCACGCAGCAAGCACCACACAAGCAGGGAGGACGCCGAGUUGCGAGCCAUGGCGAGGGAGAUGCAGGGAGGUGCUCGGCUGCUGCAGAGAUGGAACUCGCCAUUUGGAGCAGUGGCAGGGGGCGUCCAUGGCUGCUGGAGAAAUCAGGGCGCCAUCCAUGGGAAGAAGGAGGAGCUCGCUGCAAGGAAGGGCUGGCGGCCAUGGGAGGGAAGGAGCCGUGCUCCCUGCGCUGGGGAAGAAGGGGAGGUCGCCAUGGCUGGCCGGUCUCCCUGCUAGCCGCUGUGGGGAAGAAAGGUGCCAUGGAGAAGAGCUGGAGGCGUCUGCUCCAAGGGCUCGGCCAGCGCCCAAGCAGGGAGGUGGAG
rnacentral:misc_RNA from 1 species